GACAGAGGGUGCAAGCGUUGUUCGGAAUUACUGGGCAUAAAGCGCACGUAGGUGGUUCACUAAGUCGAGUGUGAAAUCCCCCGGCUCAACCGGGGAAUUGCGCUCGAUACUGGCGGGCUAGAGGUCGGUAGGGGUGAGCGGAACUCCAGGUGGAGCGGUGAAAUGCGUAGAUAUCUGGAGGAACACCGGUGGCGAAAGCGGCUCACUGGAUCGAAACUGACACUGAGGUGCGAAAGCUAGGGUAGCAAACGGG
rnacentral:rRNA from 1 species